rnacentral:rRNA from 1 species
GUAGGUGGCAAGCGUUGUCCGGAAUUAUUGGGCGUAAAGCGCGCGCAGGCGGUCCUUUAAGUCUGAUGUGAAAGCCCACGGCUCAACCGUGGAGGGUCAUUGGAAACUGGGGGACUUGAGUACAGAAGAGGAAAGCGGAAUUCCAAGUGUAGCGGUGAAAUGCGUAGAGAUUUGGAGGAACACCAGUGGCGAAGGCGGCUUUCUGGUCUGUAACUGACGCUGAGGCGCGAAAGCGUGGGGAGCAAACAGGGAUUAGAUACCCUGGUAGUCCACGCCGUAAACGAUGAGUGCUAAGUGUUAGGGGGUUUCCCGCCCCUUAGUGCUGCAGCUAACGCAUUAAGCACGCCGCCUGGGGAGUACGGCUGCAAGGCUG